rnacentral:rRNA from 1 species
GACGAACGCUGGCGGCGUGCUUAACACAUGCAAGUCGAGCGGUAAGGCCCUUUCGGGGGUACACGAGCGGCGAACGGGUGAGUAACACGUGGGUGACCUGCCCUCAGCUCUGGGAUAAGCCUGGGAAACCGGGUCUAAUACUGGAUAUGACUCCAUGACGCAUGUUGUGGGGUGGAAAGCCUUGUGCGGCUGAGGAUGGGCCCGCGGCCUAUCAGCUUGUUGGUGGGGUGAUGGCCUACCAAGGCGACGACGGGUAGCCGGCCU